rnacentral:rRNA from 1 species
GAUGAACGCUGGCGGCGUGCCUAAUACAUGCAAGUCGAGCGAACAGACGAGGAGCUUGCUCCUCUGACGUUAGCGGCGGACGGGUGAGUAACACGUGGAUAACCUACCUAUAAGACUGGGAUAACUUCGGGAAACCGGAGCUAAUACCGGAUAAUAUAUUGAACCGCAUGGUUCAAUAGUGAAAGACGGUUUUGCUGUCACUUAUAGAUGGAUCCGCGCCGCAUUAGCUAGUUGGUAAGGUAACGGCUUACCAAGGCAACGAUGCGUAGCCGACCUGAGAGGUUGAUCGGCCACACUGGAACUGAGACACGGUCCAGACUCCUACGGGAGGCAGCAGUAGGGAAUCUUCCGCAAUGGGCGAAAGCUUGACGGAGCAACGCCGCGUGAGUGAUGAAGGUCUUCGGAUCGUAAAACUCUGUUAUCAGGGAAGACCAAAUGUGUAAGUAACUAUGCACGUCUUGACGGUACCUAAUCAGAAAGCCACGGCUAACUACGUG